AUUGAACGCUGGCGGCAUGCCUUACACAUGCAAGUCGAACGGCAGCAUGGAAGAGCUUGCUCUUCUGAUGGCGAGUGGCGAACGGGUGAGUAAAGCAUCGGAACGUACCGUGUAGUGGGGAUAACGUAGCGAAAGUUACGCUAAUACCGCAUACGCACUGAGGUGGAAAAGCAGGGGAUCGCAAGACCUUGCGCUAUACGAGCGGCCGAUGUCAGAUUAGCUAGUUGGUAGGGUAAAGGCCGUACCAAGGCGACGAUCUGUAGCGGGUCUGAGAGGAUGAUCCGCCACACUGGGACUGAGACACGGCCCAGACUCCUACGGGAGGC
rnacentral:rRNA from 1 species